rnacentral:tRNA from 1 species
UGCGCCGCUAGCUCAAAUGGUAGAGCAACGGACUCUUAAUCCGUGGGUUCGGGGUUCGAUUCCCUGGCGGCGUAU